CCAGUUCCUGGAGGGCCAGCCAGAGCACUGUAGAGAUUAGAUGCAACCCUAAUUAAACACACCUGAUCCAGCUAAUCAAGUCCUUCAGGCUUAUUUGAAAACUACAUGGUAUGCGUGUUGGAACUAAACUCUGCAGGGCUGCGGCCCUCCAGGAACUGAGUUUGACACCCCUGAUCUUGGAUAUCUAGGAUCGGUGUAUGACAUCGGUUCCUUAUGCUUUUGAAACGCUCUCGAGGUACUUUGAAUUAAAGCAAUAUAGAAAUCCUGGCCAGGACACGUCCGGGAAAAAUGGCACGUGUGAUCACCCUAGAUAAAGUCAUGAGGCACGUCCUGCCUGAUCUCUAUCUACUCCCAUAAUGCUUUUCACCAGCAACCCCGACCCACUCAUCACUGUAGCGAUCAGAGACAAUCAUCUUCAGACAGAUCCAGGAUAAGCCUCUUGUUGGUCUUUGAUUGGCUUUAUAUAUUGAGAUCAAUUAAACACAUACUGUGUGGAAAUGAGGAUCUCCAGCCUGGCGCUGCUGCUGUCUAUUACCCACAAUGCUUUUCAAGUCAGUUGUGAUAUUGGUUAUGCAAAUUAUAUGUAAAUACAGCUAAUGAACUUGUUUCAUUUGACAAGACUUACCAAGUCUUGAUGUGAUGGGGAAAUACCAUAGAUGGACCGGACAGAGAUACUGUAGAAAGAAAAGUAGAUUAGUUAUUAUAGCAUCAAUCACGUUGCUUUUAGCAGAUAUUACUGAGUUAUGAUGCAACUCCACGUCACAGAGUUUCAGUAGCAUUCAGUAGUAUUUUGGUGCCUCUGCCAAACAAAUCAUAUUUUACCCGAGCUGUGAAUUAUAAUUUAUAGGAUGUUUUGUAUAUAAUGAAAAGAUUGUGCCAAGAAGCAUCUUUCUAAGUUGUCCUCGUGGGCUGCAUGGAAACAAAUAAAGGCUAGGCUAUACAACACAACCCAAUUCAUGAACAAAUUACUUUUAGCCAGUUCUGUUUAGUGAAUCGAUAUAAUCAAGAUACAGCAAGACAAGUGUAGCCCAAUUCUUUAGGUGAAUUGUAUAACACAGCGCGACCCUGAAUUCCAAACGAAAGACUCUUGAGUUCUUUUAGUGAAUCAAAAUAAUACAGCACCACUAAUGCAGUCGGAUUCCCAUACAAAUAACUCUCAUGAAUUGAUUCUUUUAAUGAAUCAUAACAAACAGCACAACCAGUUUAGCCUGAUUUUUUCAAACAAAUGACUCUUGUGAGCUAGUUCUAUUUAGUGAAUCAAAAAUAUACAUUGCCAGUAAUGCAGUCCGAACAAAUGACUCUUCUAAGCUGAAUCUUUUAGUAAAUCAAAACACACGGCACAACCACUGUUUCCUGUUUCCCGAAACCAGUUUAGCCUGAUUUUUCAAAUGAAUGACUCUUAUGAGCUGAUUCUUUUUAGUGAAUCCAAAACCUUCAGCUUGUUUCACAAACUUUUACC